GUCCACCACAGGCUUCAGGAGCAUUUUAUCAACAACAACUUUGAAGUGAGAAUAUUGAAGCACAGAGUGACUAAGUAAUUUCUUCAACUUGACCAGAGAGUUGACAGAAAGAAGGCUGAUGAUGAGUGAAAAAGGCCCUACACAGUUGGGUCACGGGCUACUUCU